AGCGAACGCUGGCGGCAGGCCUAACACAUGCAAGUCGAACGAACUCUUCGGAGUUAGUGGCGGACGGGUGAGUAACACGUGGGAACGUGCCUUUAGGUUCGGAAUAACUCAGGGAAACUUGUGCUAAUACCGAAUGUGCCCCUCGGGGGAAAGAUUUAUCGCCUUUAGAGCGGCCCGCGUCUGAUUAGCUAGUUGGUGAGGUAAAGGCUCACCAAGGCUACGAUCAGUAGCUGGUCUGAGAGGAUGACCAGCCACAUUGGGACUGAGACACGGCCCAAACUCCUACGGGAGGCAGCAGUGGGGAAUCUUGCGCAAUGGGCGAAAGCCUGACGCAGCCAUGCCGCGUGGAUGAUGAAGGUCUUAGGAUUGUAAAAUCCUUUCACCGGUGAAGAUGAUGACUGUAGCCGGAGAAGAAGCCCCGGCUAANUUCGUGCCAGCCGCCGCAGUAAGAC
rnacentral:rRNA from 1 species